AGAUGUUUUAUACUAAGCUUCUUAAUAACUUUUUCUCACUAGACAUAGUCAUAGCAACCUUAAACUACUCAAAGGCUUCCUACCUAAACUGAGAAUCCACUCUUAAGGGGCACGAGUAAAAAUGAAUGUGCUCCAUGUCCCAGCACGGAGGCAGCAGUAUGAAAGGCACCUGGGUCAUAUGUGAAGGAGAUUCACUGACUAAUUUUAGGGUAUGUGCUCUGAGUAUUAGAACUUUCUCUGGGUAUGAAGGAGCUGGUAGGUGCCAAUUUUUUGUUUUGUCCUGUUUUGGUUGAUUAGUUGGGGUCUCUUUGUAGCUCAUCCUUUACUUACCUGGCCCAGCACUGGAAGGUGCUAUCGCUGACUCUCCCCAACCAACCAACUAAUCCUGGGUUCUUUUGUGAGCCCAACAGCACUCUGCUCCACCAAAGCAGUCCCCGCCCUACACCAGACCUGGAAGGUACCCGUGGCUGGCACUGGAGCCCCUCCAAAGCAGCCUCCCAGUCUACCAGUCCAUCACGUAUACUUGACUUGCACCAGCAACCCCCAAAGCAGCUCUGGCCCUAGAAACUGUCCCCCACAUGACAGAGUACCUGCAACAGUUGAACUAGGCCUUAUACCCAGCCACCCUGGGGACCAGCCCCACACACUAAUGCACCCCCAGCAAGCAUAGCCCAACCACAAUAGAAGGACACACACAGCCCACAUGGGGGGCACUCCUGGAGCCCCAGACUCUGGUGCCCAGGGAGGACUGUGCUACUAAGCCCUACAGGACUCCUUCUAUACAAAGCCACUCUUCCAAUCAGGGAGAUAUAGAUAACCUACUUAAUACAAUAGGAGCAAACAUAGAGAGUUGGACAAAAUGAGGACACAAAAGAAUAUGCUCCAAACUAAAGAACAAGACAAAACCUCAGAAAAAAAUAAACAAGCCAAAUGGAGAUAAACAACAUGCCAGAUAAAAAAUUCAAAGUAAUGGUUAUAAAAAAUACUCUUCCAACUCAGGAGAAUAGAGGAACACAGUGAGAUCUUCAACAGCAAUAUAGAAAAUACAAAAAGGAACCAGUCAAACCUUAAGAAUACAAUAACAGCCAUGAAAAAUACACUCUAGAACCAACUGUAGAUGAAAUGAUGCAGAAAAAUGGAUCAGCAAUCUGGUAGACAGGCUGGUGGAAAUCACUUGACUGAAACAGCAAAUAGAAAAAAAUGAGGCUAUCUUAAGGGAUCCCUAGAACAAUAUCAGCAUACUAACAUUCACCUUAUAGGGGGUCCCAGAAGGAGAAGAGAGAGAGAGGGACAGAAAAUCUAUUUGUAGAAAUAAUGGCUGAAAACUUCCUAACCUCGGUAGAGGAAAUGGACAUCCAAGUCCAGGAAGCACAGGAAGUCCCAAAUAAAAUGAACCCAAAGAAACCCACCCUGAGACACCUUGCAAUUAAAAACAGAAGCAAAAAUAAACAAAGGAGGCCUAAUCAAACUUUAAAGCUUUUGCAAAGCAAAGAAACUCAUCAACAAAAUGAAAAGACAACCUACUGAAUCGGAGAAAAUAUUUGCAAAUGAUAUGACCAAUAAGGAGUUAAAUACCUAUAAUAUAUAAACAACUCAUACAACUCAACAUCAAAAAUAAACACCCUGAUUAAAAAAUGGACAGAAGAACUGAACAUAUAUUUUUCCAAAGAGGAAAUGCAGAUGGUCUACAGACAAAUGAAAACAGGCUCACCAUUGCCAAUCAUCAGGAAAAUGCAAAUCAAAGCCAUAAUGAGAGAUCACCUCACACUUGUCAGAAUGGCUGUCAUCAAAAUGAACACAAAUAACAAAUGUUGGCAAGGAUGUGGGGAAAAGGAAACCCUUGUGCUCUGUUGGUAGGAAUGUAAAUUAGCACAGUCACUAUGGAAAACACUAAUGAAGUUCUGCCAAGAAAAUUUUAAAUAGAACUACCAUAUGAUUCAGCAAUUCCACUUCUGGAUAUUUACCCAAAAAAACCAAAACACUAAUUCGAAAAGAUAUAUGCACCCCUAUAUUCACUGCAGCAUUGUUUACAAGAGCCAAGAUAUGGAAGAAACCUAAAUGUCCAUCAAUAGAUGAAUGGGCAAAAAAGAUGUAAAAUCUAUAUAUUGGAAUAUUAUGUAAUGUGUGUGUGUGUGUGUGUGUGUGUGUAAUGGAAUAUUACUCAGCCGUAAAAAGAUUUUGCCCUUUGCAACAACAUGGAUGCACCUAGAGGGUAUUAUACUAAAUGAGUCAGAUAUUGAGAUAUAAGACAAAUGUUGUAUAGUUUCACUUAUGUGUGGAUUCUAAAAAAUGAACAAACAAAACAAAAAUGGACUCAUAGAUACAAAAAACAAACAGGUGGUUGCCAGAAAGGAGAGGGUAGAGAGUUGGGCAAAAUAGGUGAAGAGGAUUAAUUAAGUACAAACUUCUGGUUAUAAAAUAAAAUGAGUCACAGGAUGUAAAAUACAGCAUAAGGAAUAUAGCCACUAAUACAGUAAUAAUUUUGUAUGGUAACAAAUGGUUACUAGACUUAUCAUGGUGAUUGAUCAUUUUGUCAUGUAUUUGUCAAAUCACUAUGUUGUAUGCCUGAAUCUAACAUAAUAUUUUAAGUCAACUAUACUUCAAUUUAAGAAAAAAAGUGAGGGAGCAGUAAGAAUCAAAAACAGUGCAGAUAGGGAAUUCCUGUCGUGGCUCAGUGGAAACGAAUCUGACUAGUAUCCAUGAGACACCGGUUCGAUCCCUGGCCCCUCUUUUAGGAUCCGACAUUACUGUGAGCUGUGGUGUAGGUCGAAGACAUGGCUUGGAUCCUGUGUUGCUGUGGCUGUGGCACAGGCCAGCAGCUGCAGCUCCAAUUCGACCUGUAGCCUGGGAACUUCCAUAUGCUGUGCAUGCGGCCCUAAAAAACUCCCCCUCCCCCCAAAAAAGCAGUGCAGAUAUUUCCAGGUUUAGGAACAGCACAGAUGCCAUGGCUAUGUCAGGAAACUCUGAGGGAACCUACUAGCUCCUGGUCUAUAUAUUUCACCUAAGAUUUUCCUCUCAUAGCUUACUUCUUAACAGUGAAGAGGGUAGAUUCAGAGGGAAAAAAUGCAUUGCUUCUAUUCAAUUUCAUGUCCACCCUAAAGCUGUUUAGAAAGUGAUUUUUGAUAUGCCUCUCUCUACAUAAAGCAGUAGUCCGACCUGCAGAAAUAGUAGAGAGGGCUAUUAGAUCUCUAAUUAGUUUUUAAGUGUUCUACAUUUCAUAAAAAGAUUGGAAAUAAAUCCAGUUAAAACGAUUUUUUUUUUGAGGAGUUCCUGUCAUGGCGCAGUGGUUAAAGAAUCCCACUAGGAACCAUGAGGUUGCGGGUUCAGUCCCUGCCCUUGCUCAGUGGGUUAACGAUCCGGCGUUGCUGUGAGCUGUGGUGUAGGUUGCAGAUGUGGCUCGGAUCCCACGUUGCUGUGGCUCUG
rnacentral:lncRNA from 1 species